GCGAGACAUGGGGGAAGAGACACGGAAGGGAGCGAGACAUGGGGGAAAAGACACGGAAGGGAGCGAGACAUGGGGGAAGAGACACGGAAGGGAGCGAGACAUGGGGGAAGAGACACGGAAGGGAGCGAGACAUGGGGGAAGAGACACGGAAGGGAGCGAGACUUGGGGGAAGAGACACAGAAGGGAGCGAGACUUGGGGGAAGAGACACAGAAGGGAGCGAGACAUGGGGGAAGAGACACAGAAGGGAGCGAGACAUGGAAGGGAGCGAGACAUGGAGGAAGAGACAUGAAAGGGAGCGAGACAUGGGGGAGAGAUAUGGAAGGGAAUGAGACAUGUAGGAAGAGAU